rnacentral:lncRNA from 1 species
AUUGUAUGGGAUGCUCUACAAGCCUCAUGAUCUACAGCCUGGAAAGAAAUAUCCUACUGUGCUGUUCAUAUAUGGUGGUCCUCAGGUGCAGUUGGUGAAUAAUCGGUUUAAAGGAGUCAAGUAUUUCCGCUUGAAUACCCUAGCCUCUCUAGGUUAUGUGGUUGUAGUGAUAGACAACAGGGGAUCCUGUCACCGAGGGCUUAAAUUUGAAGGCGCCUUUAAAUAUAAAAUGGAAGCUUUAAAUGCUACCUUUUAGAGAUGCCCCAUGUCCUUUCUGCUGCUUUGGGAAAUGAUGAGAAUCCGAUGUUCCUUUUGCACAGUAAGGCAGUUACUGUGUUUGCCAGUGUUAUUGGACAUGCUGAGUAAGACAUGGGGAUUUUCUCCCACAGCCAGUUCUUUGACCUUAUGUUGUAUUCUCAUGUAAGUUUUUUUGUUUUUAUUUUUGUUUUUGGCUCAGUGAAGUGAGAUUGCGUGCACUGGCAGGCCUAGUAAUAUAGACAAGGUGGUGGUGGUAGGAAUUAGGACUUUAAAGAAGUAGUAUGUUCAGUUCCUAGAGGUAGUAUAAUAGGGAAAUAAGAAGACAGGGCCUCAAGAGCAAUUCCUUCUGCUUUACUGCACUAAAAAUUAAAAAGGAGAAGUAGGCCAGGUGCAGUGGCUCACGCGUGUAAUCCCAGCACUUU